GCUGGGCACAGUGGUGCAUGCCUGUAAUCCCAAUGGCUAGGGAGGCUGAGACAGGAGGAUCUAGAGUUCAAAGCCAGCCUCAGCAAAAGUGAGGCACUAAGCAACUCAGUGAGACCCUGUCUCUA
rnacentral:sRNA from 1 species